rnacentral:lncRNA from 1 species
AACUGAUAAUUAUUUCAGGUGGAAAUGUUAUCUUACACUUAUGCUGUGUUCCAUGGCUUUAUUCACUUUAACCAAGUGUUAUCCACAUUGAAUAUUUCACUUGCACAACAAUCUUUCUUUUGGCACCAAGAUGACAUUAAAAUCUAGGUCCCUGGUGCUCAAGAGAGGGAAAGUGACUGACAAGUUCCGCUUCUCUCUGGACGGCACCCAGAUUCCAUCAGUCACCGAGAAACCCAUCAAGAGCCUCGGAAAGACCUUUGAUUGCACCCUGAAGGACGCUGCAUCCAUCAAGGCCACAAAUCGGGAGCUGGAGGCGUGGCUGACAGCAGUGGACAAGUCGGGUCUGCCUGGUAAAUUCAAGGCCUGGAUUUACCAGCAUGGUGUUCUCCCCAGGAUUCUGUGGCCCCUGCUUGUGUACGAGUUCCCAAUAACAACAGUACAGGGCUUCGAGAGGAGGAUCAGCCGUUACUUCCGUAGAUGGCUGGGCCUGCCACGAAGCCUGAGUAGCAUCGCUCUAUACGGGCACAACAACAAACUGAAGCUCCCCUUUAGCAGCCUGAAUGAGGAGUUCAUGGUAACCCGUGCAAGAGAGGUGCUGCAGUACAGGGAAUCCAGUGAUCCAAAGGUCUCCCAGGCUGGCAUCGAAGUCAGGACUGGAAGGAAGUGGAGGGCGCAGGAAGCAGUCGAGCAGGCGGAGUCACGCUUGCGUCACAGCGUGCUGGUCGGCCCAGUGGCAUCUGGACGAGCAGGGCUUGGUAGCGUUGCAACCACACGCUACGACAAAGCCCUGGGCAAAGACAGACGCCGAUGGGUCCAAGAGGAAGUGAGAACUGGCGUGGAGGAACUGCGUGCUAGCCAGAUGGUGGGGAUGCGACAGCAAGGCGCAUGGACGAGAUGGGAACAGGCAGUGGACCGCAAGAUCUCCUGGUCUGAGCUUUGGCAAGCUGAGCCUUACCGGAUCAAGUUCCUGAUUGCGUCCGUCUAUGACGUCUUGCCCAGCCCAUCCAACCUCUUCUGCUGGGGCAAGGUUGACGCACCAUCAUGUCCUUUGUGCCUCAGAAGGGGAACGCUAGAGCACAUCCUCAGCUGUUGCUCCAAAGCCCUGGGAGAAGGACACUACACUUGGCGCCACGACCAGGUGCUGAAGGCGAUAGCAGAAACCAUCUUCACCAGCAUCACCCAGAACAAGCCUCUCCGACCAGCAAGGCAGGCGAUUGCUUUCAUUCGAGCAGGGGAGAAGCCUAAGCCCAAGCCAAGGGGGGCAGUGGGACUCCUUGGAACCGCACCGGACUGGCAGAUGAAGGCCGACCUGGGGAAGCAGCUCAGAUUCCCAGAGCAAAUCGUGGAAACCACCCUGAGACCAGACAUAGUUCUGUUCUCAGAUUCAACCAAACAGGUGGUCCUACUGGAGCUGACAGUUCCCUGGGAGGAGCGCAUGGAAGAGGCCAAUGAGAGGAAGCGUGCCAAGUAUGCCAACUUAGUGGAGGAGUGCCGCAGAAGGGGGUGGCGUGCCCGGUGUGUGCCAAUAGAGGUGGGCUGUAGAGGCUUUGCAGCGCGAUCUCUCUGCAAAGCAUACAGCAUGCUUGGAGUCACAGGUGCAUGUCAGAGAAAGGCCAUCAAGACCACCACAGAGGCAGCUGAGAAGGCCUCUAGAUGGCUGUGGAUCAAGAGGGGCGAUCCGUGGGUACAUGCUACUUAGACACAAGUUGGGACUUGAUCAAUCCCGGCUGGGUCGCCUGGUUGAGGGUGUAUGAUGUUGCGAGCCCCGAAACACCCAAUGACCCCAGGUUCCAUCACUGAUGAUGUGUCUAAGUGCAUCAAUAGAUGUAUAUUAAACUAGCCCUUGCAGUUGUGGAGAUAUACUCUAUUUACUUUGGGUACGUUCUUUUCUGAAAAAAGCUUUUCCCCUGAUAUCGAAAAUGGUAUAGAAUAUCGAUAUUUUUCCAGGUAUAGUAUCGAAGUUAGAAAAUCCAGU